CCGGAAGGUGCGGCUGGAUCACCUCCUUUCUAAGGAGCACCUGGCGCGUCCCGGCUCAGCCGGGCACCGCGUCCAGAGCCACAACUCGGACGCGUGUUCCGAGGUGGUAGCUCACUAGUGGAGCACUGGUUAUUCGGUCUGGGCAGCUGCCUGGGCCAGUUAGUACACCCGCUUGCGGGAGGAACGCUGACGCCGGGGACUGGCCAGGCCGAGCACGCUGUUGGGUCCUGAGGGAACGGCCGCAAGGUGGCAUCCUCAACUAGGGCCGGUGGCCCCGCCUGGUAACGGGCAGGGGAGCCGGAACCGCCCGUAUCUUGAGAACUGCACAGUGGACGCGAGCAUCACAUCUGUAGUUGCCAAGUUAUUAAGGGCGCAC
rnacentral:misc_RNA from 1 species